GUUUAGAGUGGUCCAGCCAUACUGAAACUGCAGAACCAAAUUCCAGCUGCCACAGUAUGGUAGCUGGCCUCUAAUCUUUCUGCUGAUUCAGCUACAGCAGCUACUGACUCUAAACACAAGUCAACAGGCGGUGAACAGACUGUCUGCAGACUGUGCUGUAGCAUGCCCACCACUGAAAUAGGUUUGUGGGUGUGAAUUGAUGAUGGUGUGGAGCAGUAAUGGAGGAAAGGGAGAGGACAGAGCGAGGGAUCUGUGGACAUCAUGGCGAAGAGAGGAAGCAGAAUAGUAGGAGAAAAAGGACGAUGUCUUAUUUAGAUACAGUAGUCAGAAUAUGCAGGUUAGUGUUGGAAGCAUCCUCCUAUAUGUUCAGUGUGCCCAGAAAAGGGAGGAACAGGUAUUUUAUGCCAAACACAGAUUCAUCUUUGAGCCCAACUCACUCGGACUGUUUGAUAUCUUGUCUUCUAGUCACUGAAGGCAGGUCACAGCAUCCUUGGGAGAGAAUGUGCAUUGGAUGUUCAACUUUCAGCACAGAAAGGGAAG